AACGAGGAUCCCAUGUGCUGCAACUAAGACCCGAAGCAGCCAAAAAUAAAUAAAAUAAUAAAUAAAUCUUUUUUUUUUUUUUAAAGGCAGGAACGACCUCAGGGAGAAGUGAAGGGAGAGAUCUGAAGUCACCAAGGGGACAGCACAUGUUGCUCUCAGAUGAGCCCAGAUUUAGAGGACGUGGACAAAAUAUGGCAAGAUGGCUCUAGCCAAGGACUAAUUCCAAAAAGAGUACAACCUUGUCAUGUCUGAACAACAAUAAAGCCCAGAGCUGAGAGUUAUGGAAAGCUGUGUACACAUUAAAAAGGGCGAGAAUAACAAUGGCAGGGCUGGAGGAGAACAGAAAGAACGGAGCCUGGCUUCUCUUUUACUUCUGUUAUUUCUAUCAAGCACAAUGAUCUGCAAGUUGGAAAGGUUGAAAAUCAACUGGAAGAUCUGAAGAUCAAAGUGAUGAAGUGACAGUCAAAGGAUGAGCCGAUGUUUCAGAAUCAAGCUGUCUGCUGAGAAAGCCAUGAAUGGCCACAUGGAAAGAAAUACGUGUCAUCUCUCAUGUCUAUAGCAUUACACGUGGACUUGAUGUACCAAUGAAAACACCAUUUAAACACAAGGAGUAGAGUAGAAGAGUAGAAGAAAUGAAGUACAGAGGUGGAGAAAAUAAUCGUUAUUUUUCAUUUCAGAGUAUUUUAGAAAAAAAUAAUUUAUCCAAUAAACAUUUAUUGUGCCCCA